AUGGGUCAAAGUCAGAGUGGUGGUCAUGAUCCUGGAGGUGGCAGGAAGGAUGACAAGGACAAGGAAAAGAAAUAUGAACCCCUUGUACCAACUAGAGUAGGGAAAAAGAAGAUAACAAAGGAACAGAUGCUUCCAGCAAACCGCCACUGCUGACACCUCACACCCAGUGCCGGUUAAAACGACACUAUCUUUCCACAGAGGAAGAAUUCAUUAGAAAUCAGGAACUAAUGAAACUAUUAGAAGAAAAGCAAGAAGAGGAAAGAUCAAAAGUGGAUGAUCUGAGGGGGACCCCAAUGUCAGUGGCAACCGUGGAAGAGAUCAUCCAUGCAUCGUGUCUGCAUCUGUGGGCUCAGAACACUAUGUCAGCAUUCUUUCGUUUGUAGGCAAGGAUCUGCUGGAAGCCGGCUCCUCACUUCUGCUCAAUCACAAGGUGCAUGCUGUGAUAGAAGUGCUGAUGGAUGACACGGAUCCCCUGGUCACAGUGAUGAAGGUGGAAAAGGCCCCCCAGGAGACCUACACCAGUUUUAGGGAGUUGUACAACCAAAUUCAGGAAAUUAAGGAAUCUGUGGAGCCUCCUCUCACCCACUCGGAAUAUUAUGAAGAGAUGGAUAUAAAGACUCCUAAGGGGGUCAUUCUCUAUUGGUCCACCUGGCAUAGGUAAACCAUUGUUAGCCAAAGCAGUAGCAAACCAAACCUCAGCCACUUUCUUGAGAGUGGUUGGCCUGAACUUACUUAGAAAUACCCAGGCGAUGGGCCCAAACUCAUACGGGAAUUAUUUUGAGUUGCUAAAGAGCAUGCACAGUCCAUCAUGUUUAUUGAUUAAAUUGAUGCCAUUGGGACAAAAAGAUAUGAUUCAGAUUCUGGUGGUGCGAGAGAAAUUCAGUGAACAAUGUUGGAACUGUUGAACCAGUUGGACGGAUUUGAUUCUAGGGGAGAUGUGGAAGUGAUGGCCACAAACCGAAUAGAAACUGGAUCCAGCACUUACCAGACCAGUCCUCAGUGACAGAAAGAUUGAGUUCUGCCUGCCUUAUAAGAAGACUAAGAAGCACAUCUUUCAGAUUCACACAAGCAGGAUGACACUGGUUGACAAUGUAACCCUGGACGACUUGAUCAUGGCUAAAGAUGGUGCUGACACUCUCUGGUGCUGACCUCAAGGCAAUCUGGAAAGAACCUGGUCUCAUGGCCUUAAGAGAAUGUAGAAUGAAAGUAACAAAUGAAGACUUCAAAGACUCUAAAGAAAGUGUUCUUUAUAAGAAACAGGAAGGCACCCCUGAGGGGCUCUAUCUCUAGUGAACCACGGCUGUCAUCAGGAAAAUGGUUAGGAGAUUUCUCAAUCCCUGAAAGGGAUGAGGCUGGGGGAGUUGCCCAGAGGAAUCCUUGUUCCUGUUGAUUUUUAUUAGCGAAACAUUGUGUGUCUUUUGGAGUACGAUCUGUAAGUGCCCAUUGGGUGGCCUUCAUUCGUUCGUCACUGUGCAGCAGUCUGCUUCCCAAUAACGUGUGCUCUUUCACAAA